rnacentral:rRNA from 1 species
GGAGUCUGGGCCGUGUCUCAGUCCCAAUGUGGCCGUUCAACCUCUCAGUCCGGCUACCGAUCGUCGACUUGGUGGGCCGUUACCCCGCCAACUAUCUAAUCGGACGCGAGGCCAUCUUACAGCGGAUUGCUCCUUUGGUAACAAGAAGAUGUCUUCUCGCUACGUUAUGCGGUAUUAGCAGUCGUUUCCAACUGUUGUCCCCCUCUGUAAGGCAGGUUCCUCACGCGUUACUCACCCGUCCGCCACUAAGUGUUACAAGAAAUUUCCUGUAGCAAGCUACUCUCAAUUUCAGCGUAAAACUCCGUUCGACUUGCAUGUGUUAGGCACGCCGCCAGCGUCGUCCUCGAGCCACGGAGUCAAACUACU